rfam:Postia placenta Mad-698-R POSPLscaffold_20_Cont1441, whole genome shotgun sequence.
GGGCGCUUGGCACAGUGGUAGCGCGCACGCUUUGCAUCUUGUACUGUCUGCGUGAGGUCGAGGGUUCAAACCCCUCAGCGUCCA